rnacentral:lncRNA from 1 species
CAUGUGCGCCUGAAAGUUUUUUCCUUUAUCAUAGAUUCUUUUUUAAAAUGUUUUAUCUCUUAAACCGUGCGUCCAAAUCUCGAACCGUUUUCAUCAUUGCAUUCUUUGCAUCGAGAUCUUUAAAAUUAGAUCCCAUGUUGAUAGAUUUUGAUGAACUUAAAAAAACAGAUGAAAAAACUGAACCCGGUGCACGUUUUUCCCCUUUCCAAAAGAGGCAUGGCCGUGCCUCUCAUGGAAGCAAAAAAUACACGUUUUUUUCGUUUCUGAGAGGCACGUCCAUGUCUCUCUCGAAAGAAAAAACGUGCCUCUCGUGGAAUGAAAAUUUUUUGAGUUUUCCCGUUUCCUAGAGGCAUGUGCCUCUCGCGAAAGCUAAACCAUGCCUCUCGUGAAAGUAAAAGACAUUUUUUUCUCGCAAUUGUUUUUUGGUCCAAAAGCUAAGAAAGAUAAAAGUCGAAAAAAACUGAAAAACAAAAACCCGUCUAAAAAGCCGAAAAUGCGUGCGGAAAAUAAAAAAUAAAAUCCAAGGGAAACAUUCAAGUGACGCGCUCUCAGCCAACUCCAAGUAAUCGUUGGGAGGCUUGCGAAGGAGCGAUCGUUAACUAGUUGCUCUCUUGUCUAGCGCACAGACACACAAAGGACCCACGACUGGGCCGGCCCACAAACAGGCACCGAAGCAUAACACGACUUAAAAGUCACAAAAAGGAGGGAGGAGCCGACAAGAAAAGAACACACGCCCCUCUAAUCCUGAAUGUGUGCUGCUAGCCCACUGGAGUUGUUAGCUCUUGGUGAUAUAUGAUAUAUGGGCAGCGCGAGUCUUUUAGGAACACAUCGAAGCGGCACAUUGGAAUUAUUUUUUAAAAGGAGACAUUUUUUGAAAACAUGAAAAAUCUUUAAAAAUUAGAACCCACUUGCAAAUUCCAAGCAUUAUUUUGGAAAAGUGAGAACAAAAAUUUAAAUUAUGUACAAUUUUUAAAUUUUCAAAAAAAUAAAACAUAAUUUUUUUUGAAACUAUGAACUUUUUUUAAGAAUGUGAACACAUUUUGAAAUUCUGAACAUUUUCUGAAAUUGCAAAUAAUUUUGAAAAUAUGAUUACAUUUUGAAACUCCAAACAUUAUUUGACAACGUGAACAAAUUUAAAAUUCUGAAUAUUUUUGGAGAUGCAAACAAAAAAUUUAAAGCAAAAAAGGAAUUUCAAUUUUUUUAAAGAAUAAUAUUCCAAUAUGUCAAACAUUUUUUGAAAUUUGCAAAAAAACAGAAAAAGGAAAAAAAUAUGAACAAAGAAUAAAAACCAGAUCAAAACUGAAGAAGAAAAAGAAAACGCAGUUUAGCAAACUUCUAGAAGGAUCCCAAAAACGGUGAGGACUAUUCAGAAGGUUGACAAAACCGGUGGCUCGCACGCUCCCAUGGGGCAGCCCAUUCAAUCGAUCGGGGUGUGCGAUUGCCUGACUAUUUUUUUGCAAAAUGCAGCAAAUAGGUAAUUCCCACGCACAGGUCCCGUUCCACCUUUGUCACAUGUGCAGUUCAAACCCAGCCAGUUUUAUGAACUUUUCUAUAAGCUUCCGGCCUGUUUUGGGGAGCUUCUAAAUGCUUCUGGAAGGGUUUUGCUCUUUUCUUAUUUCUUUUUUGGGUCGGUUUUGUUUGGUUUUUCUUUUUUUCUUUGUUCCUCUUCUCUUAAAUGUGUGAAUCUAUUCAAAUCCGAAAUCUUUCUUCAAAACCAUGAGAAAAAUAUGUGAACUUUUGUCUCAAAAUUGAUGAACUUUUUUUUCUUUACUUCAGUUUCCUUUGUUUCUUCAUCGUUCUUUCUUCCAUUUUUGUUUUUCUUUGUUUCUGGACAGAUUUCUUUCCCGAUUUUGAUUCAUUUUUCUUUUGUUUUCUUUUUUGGUUUUCUUCAACUUUUUGUUUCUUUCUCGGUUUUCUCCUAUUUUCUUGUUUUCUUUGUUUCAUUAUCUUUGGCACCUGUAUUUCUUUGGUUUUAUUUAUUUUAUGUUGUUUAUUCAUCGAUUUUUCUUGUUCUUUGUUAUACUUUGGUUUUUCUCAGUUUUCUUAUGUUUCUUCGUUGAUUUCCAUCAUUUUUUGUCUUUUUCAACACAUGUCUGUUUUUUCAGUGCUUAGUGUACAUUUUUAGUGUAUGAAUGAAACAUUUUUCUAAUACAUGUUGUACAUUUCUCAAAUACAUUAUGUACUUUUUCUUCAACACAUGUUAUGAACUCUUUUUUGAAUAUAUGGUCAACAUUCUUUUUAAAUACACGCUGGACAUUCUAUAAUGGCAAUAAACAUUGUUUUAAACUAUGCAGCAUUUUCUUUACAUUGUAUAAAUGUAUAAAUAUUUUUUGAAUGUCACAAUUUUUUUAAAUAUGAGAAUAUUUCUUGAAAACUUCAUGUAUUUUUUUCUAAUGGCACGAAACAUUAUUUUACUAGGCAAAGAUGUUUUGUAUAUUUUAUACACAUUUCAAAAUUUCACAGACAUAGUUUUGAAAGGCAUAAAUAUUUUUUCAUUUUGAUGACAUUUUUCUGAAAGCUAUCAACAAUUUUAUUUGUGCUUUUAUAUUAUGUUAACAUUUUUCAGAUUUACUUUUUUAAAAUUAAGUAAAAUUAAGUUUUUUAAAAAUAUAUCCAUUUAGAAUAUAUACAUAAAAAUAAAAGUAUGACCCAUGACCAAUUAUGAGUGUAGUGUGCACUCAUUCUUAGCCAUGUUUAAACCGGAGAAUUUUAAAUUUUCUGAGAGAACCACUUCAAUAUGUAUGAUCUCUAAAGUUAAGAAAGGCUAAAGAUUGCAUACCCCUUUGUUUAUUUUGUUCCUUGCAGUAAUGGGCCAUUUUAGAAGAUAAAUCAGACCAUAUAUGUGAGAUAUUUGGCAUGGAGAUCAAGUCCAGUAUUCUAGAGUGCCCAAAAGGCACCGGAAGAGAAGACUACACCUGGCACUAGUGCCCGCUUGUACCAGCGGUCGAACUGCUUGCCACCGCCUGUGUGAUAUGAGCACUAACUGAAGGAAAAUAUUCCCUAGAGGCAAUAAUAAAGUUAUUAUCUAUUUCCUUAUUUUCAUGAUAAAUGUUUCUUAUUCAUGCUAGAAUUGUAUUAAUCGGAAACUUGAUACAUGUGUGAAUACAUAGACAAACAGAGUAUCACUAGUAUGCCUCUACUUGACUAGCUCGUUGAAGCAAAGAUGGUUAAGUUUCCUAGCCAUAGACAUGAGUUGUCAUUUGAUUAACGGGAUCACAUCAUUAGAGAAUGAUAUGAUUGACUUGACCCAUUCCGUUAGCUUAGCACUUGAUCGUUUAGUAUGUUGCUAUUGCUUUGUUCAUGACUUAUACAUGUUCCUAUGACUACGAGAUUAUGCAACUCCCGUUUACCGGAGAAACACUUUCUGUGCUACCAAACGUCACAACGUAACUGGGUGAUUAUAAAGGUGCUCUACAGGUGUCUCCGAAGGUACUUGUUGAGUUGGUGUAUUUCGAGAUUAGGAUUUGUCACUCCGAUUGUCGGAGAGGUAUCUCUGGGCCCACUCAGUAAUACACAUCACUAUAAGCCUUGCAAGCAUUGUAACUAAUGAGUUAGUUGCGGGAUGAUGUAUUACGGAACGAGUAAAGAGACUUGCCGGUAACGAGAUUGAACUAGGUAUUGAGAUACCGACGAUCGAACCUCGGGCAAGUAACAUACCGAUGACAAAGGGAACAACAUAUGUUAUUGUGCCGUUUGACCGAUAAAGAUCUUCGUAGAAUAUGUGGGAGCCAAUAUGAGCAUCCAGGUUCCGCUAUUGGUUAUUGACCGAAGACUUGUCUCGGUCAUGUCUACAUAGUUCUCGAACCCGUAGGGUCCGCACGCUUAAAAGUUCGGUGACGAUUUGUAUUAUGAGUUUAUGUGUUUUGAUGUACCGAAGGUAGUUCGGAGUCCCGGACGAGAUCGGGCACAUGAUGAGGAGUCUCGAAAUGGUUGAGACGUAAAGAUCGAUAUAUUGGACGACUAUAUUCGGACAUCGGAAAGGUUCCGAGUGAUUCGGGUAUUUUUCGGAGUACCGGAGAGUUACAGGAAUUCGCCGGGGAGUAUAUGGGCCUUAUUGGGCUUUAGGGGAAAGAGAGAGUGGAGGCUACGCACCCCCCAAGGCUUAGUCCGAAUUGGACUAGGGGGAGGGGCGGCGCCCCCUCCUUCCUUCUCUUCUCUUUUCCCUUUCCUUCUCUCCUACUCCUACUACUUGGAAGGGCUCUUAGUUCUACUAGGAAAUGGGGAAUCCUACUCCCGGUGGGAGUAGAACUCCCUAGGGCGCGCCAUAGAGAGGGCCGGCCCUCCCCCUCCUCCACUCCUUUAUAUACGGGGAGGGGGCACCCCUUGGAGACAACAAUUGAUCAUUGAUCUCUUAGCCGUGUGUGGUGCCCCCCUCCACCAUAAUCCACCUCAGUAAUAUCGUACCGGUGCUUAGGCGAAGCCCUGCGUCGGUAGCAACAUCAUCACCGUCAUCACGCCGUCGUGCUGACGGAACUCUCCCUCGGAGCUCUGCUGGAUCGGAGUUCAUGGGACGUCAUCGAGCUAAACGUGUGCUGAACUCGGAGGUGCCGUGCGUUCGGUACUUGGAUCGGUCGGAUCGUGAAGACGUACGACUACAUCAACUGCGUUGUCAUAACGCUUCCGCUUUCGGUCUACGAGGGUACGUGGACAACACUCUCCCCUCUCGUUGCUAUGCAUCACCAUGAUCUUGCGUGUGCGUAGGAUUUUUUUUUUGAAAUUACUACGUUCCCCAACAGUGGCAUCCGAGCCAGGUUUUAUGCGUAGAUGUUAUAUGCACGAGUAGAACACAAGUGAGUUGUGGGCGAUACAAGUCAUACUGCUUACCAGUAUGUCAUACUUUGGUUCGGCGGUAUUGUUGGAUGAAGCGGCCCGGACCGACAUUACGCGUACGCUUACGCGAGACUGGUUCUACCGACGUGCUUUGCACAUAGGUGGCUGGCGGGUGUCAGUUUCUCCAACUUUAGUUGAACCGAGUGUGGCUACGCCCGGUCCUGGAGAAGGUUAAAACAGCACUAACUUGACAAACUAUCGUUGUGGUUUUGAUGCGUAGGUAAGAACGGUUCUUGCUAAGCCCGUAGCAACCACGUAAAACUUGCAACAACAAAGUAGAGGACGUCUAACUUGUUUUUGCAGGGCAUGUUGUGAUGUGAUAUGGUCAAGGCAUGAUGCUAUAUUUUAUUGUAUGAGAUUAUCAUGUUUUGUAACCGAGUUAUCGUCAACUGGCAGGAGCCAUAUGGUUGUCGCUUUAUUUUAUGCAAUGCAAUCGCCCUGUAAUGCUUUACUUUAUCACUAAGCGGUAGCGAUAGUCGUAGAAGCAAUAGUUGGCGAGAUGACAACGAUGCUACGAUGGAGAUCAAGGUGUCGCGCCGGUGACGAUGGUGAUCAUGACGGUGCUUCAGAGAUGGAGAUCACAAGCACAAGAUGAUGAUGGCCAUAUCAUAUCACUUAUAUUGAUUGCAUGUGAUGUUUAUCUUUUAUGCAUCUUAUUUUGCUUAGAUCGAUGGUAGCAUUAUAAGAUUAUCUCUCACUGAAUUUCAAGGUAUAAGUGUUCUCCCUGAGUAUGCACCGUUGCCAAAGUUCGUCGUGCCGAGACACCACGUGAUGAUUGGGUGUGAUAAGCUCUACGUUCAUCUACAACGGGUGCAAGACAGUUUUGCACACGCGGAAUACUCAGGUUAAACUUGACGAGCCUAGCAUAUGCAGAUAUGGCCUCGGAACACUGAGACAGAAAGAUCGAGCGUGAAUCAUAUAGUAGAUAUGAUCAACAUAGUGAUAUUCACCAUUGAAAACUUCUCCAUCUCACGUGAUGAUCGGACAUGGUUUAGUUGAUAUGGAUCACGUGAUCACUUAGAUGAUUAGAGGGAUGUCUAUCUAAGUGGGAGUUCUUUAAUAAUUGGGCCAUUUGCAUUUCUGUCCCUAACUCGAACCACCUAAUCAGAUAUACCCCUAAUUCCAAAGCCUGCUCAAAAAUGCCCCUCCGCCGUGAUGUGCCCUUAUAGAAAUGCCCCUCCGAGCCGUUUCCGUCCAGUCAAGGCUGUUUGACCGCUAACGUGCCAUUUCUUUGACAUUUUUGCCCCUCCUGCCGUACAUCUGGGCCCAACUAACCGGUUCACUCUCUCUCCCCUCUUUCUUCUUCCUCGCGACGACAGGGGCAUUUUUGAGCACGUACUGGAUCAGGCGUUUUCGUGGUUGGAGAGAGAGGGGUAGGUCAGGCACGGCGUGGUGAGCGAUGUCUACGUCGGGCACGGCGGGGAUGUCUUCUACGAGCUCGUCGGUGGCCACCAAUGUAAGUUUCAGUGUCGAUUUGGGGGAGAUAUGGGCAUAUUGCGGAAUUAGGGUUCAUCAAUUUGGGUUUUUUUGCUGCUGUUAGGUUGAUGGUGUCAGGAUAGUUCAGUUUCAAUCGGAGUUUUACAUCCCCGAUCUGACAUUCUGUGGCCUUGAGGUUCGCUCGAUGCAGCGGUGCCCUGGCCACGGGCUUAUUCCUGCUCGUCGUGUCGCCUGGGGAGGAGCAAGCUCCGACAGAAGGUUCCUCGGCUGCCCACUUGAUGUAAGUGUUUGGCUUUUAAGCUUGAUUUGAUUCUGCUCUUUCCCCUCUUUCUAAUUCGAUCAUUGAUUUUGCAGCUUCCUGAUGAAUGUGAGUGGGUUGUAUGGAUUGACCCGCCACCGACCGAACAUGUUGCUCGUGCAUUUGAGGAGCUUCAUGCAGGAUUGGGGAAGAGCUGGCUAAAAUCUCAUGAUUUAGAGAGGAGGGUGAUGUAUCUAACCGAGAAGAACAAGAAACUGAAGCUGAGGAUGAAAAAGAGGAACGAGCCUAUGCAAGCAUGGGGAUUUAUCAUAGUUCUUGGUAUUAGCAUUGUGGCCACAUUUGUUUCUAGGUGGUCUAAUAAUCCAUACUAAAUGGAUUUCUCUUUGUAGUGUGUGUUGUGAUGGAGCUUGGUUUGGGUAUGUAUUAUCAGAGAACAAUGCUGUGAUUUGGGAAUGUUGUGAUGUUGCUAUUUGGAAAUGACUCAAGAAUCUUGCUUUGAUCGAUGACUGAAAUAGCAUAGAUUGAAAUAUUUGAACAAAUGAUCUGUUGUGACAAAAUAGGAGCUCACAAAAAUAUUUGAAAGUAGCAUCUCACAAGAUAGCAGCUCACAUAAUAUUCGAAACUAGCAGCUCACAAAAUAGCAUAAAUUCAUCAUUGCACAAAAGGAGCAUUGCACAUUCAAGAUAGUAGCUCACAAGUUCACCAUUACAUAAGUUCAUAAUUUUAGCAUCACACACUUAAGAUAGCAGCUAACAAGUUCACAAAUAGUUGUUAAACAACAAAAACAGCAGUAAAUGAUUCCAGUCAUAGGUCUUUCAUCUUCUUGCUCCUGGUGUUGCAAGCAGGGUUAGUUAAGAGCCUUGAACUCCUCCUUGUGGUGAUAGUUUUGCUCACUUCUUUGCUUAGCUGGUUGCUUCCAGUUACAGAUCCUACUGUAGGAUCUGGUGCAAACUUGAGCCUCUUCUUGACUGGUGACAUCCCUCUAUCAGCUGCCUUUUUGUAGUUCUUCCUUGGGCUACAAUUGAAAUGAGAACAUUAAAUGCAGCAAAAAAGGAAAUGAGAACAUCAAAUGAAGCAAAAAUUGAAAUGAGAACAUCUGUAGCAGUUGCACCUUACAGCAGAUGACACUGUUGGUGCAUCUGUAGCAAUUGCAGCAUCAGGUUCAACCUCUAUAGCAUUUUCAGCAUCAGGUUCAACCUCUGUAGCAUUUUCAGCAUCUGUUUCAACCUUAGUAGCAUUUUCAGCAUCUGUUUCUACAUCUAAAUGAUCAUCUGUUGCAUUUUCAGCCCCCAGUGCUCUUCUUCCCCAAAAGCUGGGUCAAUGGAUUCCUUGCAGUGAGUGCCACGAUGGCCAAGCCUUCCACACCUGCCACAUUUCUUUCUCCUUCCUCCAAGUCCUUUUCCCUCAGAUUUUGCCCUAAUUCUUGUCUUCCUAGGUCUACCAGGGGCCCUGUUUUGCAAUGGAGCAGACAAUUUAAACCUAGGGUCCACCACAUCCCACUGUUGUUUGCCCUCCAUUGCAGGCAAAUUUUCAUCAUAAGUAGCAUUGAAUCUAGCAACAGAAAAGUACUCAUGUACAUACUGAUCAAUCUCACUUACUGGGCCUCUCAUUGAAGUAAUAAAAUACAAAGCAUGUAUGCAAGGCUGUCCAGUUAACUGCCACUUUCUACAACUGCAAGUCCUAGUGGCCAAAUUUACUGGAUAUCUCCACUCUCUCUUUUUCUUACUGUGCAACUGCCUAAGAUGGUAGUUGUGUUUCUUUAUGCUGUAUGUCAAUGAGCAGGGCCAUAAAUUUUCAUCAAGAAUUUUCCUCUAAACUUUUUUGUGAAAUUUGUAGCCAAAUGCCUCAUGCAUUCUCUCUGCUCCACACCUGGGAACACAUCUUCCACUGCAGUAUCCAAGCCUUUGCAUGCAUCAGUGUGGAUAACAAGACCUGGUGGGUGUCCUAUAAGCUCUCUUAAGUUCUGAAAAAACCAAGUCCAACUGUCUAUGCUUUCACCCUCUAGAACUCCAUAUGCAACUGGGAAGAUCCAAUUGCAAGCAUCCACAGCACAUGCACUAACUAGUUGCCCUCUAAACCUACCAUUUAAUGCAGUGGCAUCUACUGCAAGAUAAGGCUUACAUCCAUUCAAAAAACCUUGCCAACAUGCUUUGAAAGAAACAAAUACUCUUCUAAAGCACUCUUUCUGUCUACUCUUCCCAUUUAGUUUGUACCGCACAACGUGUUUAUCAAUGGUAACUACACUACCAGGAGAUGCUUUCUCCACUUCUGCCUUGAAGGUAUACAGUAACUGGAAAGAGUCAACCCACUUACCAUAGAUAUUGUCAAGUGCCAUUUGCUUCCCAUAGAAUACUCUCAUAUAUAGAACUGCCAGGCCAUACUUCUUCUUCAAAUUUUUCUGCAAUUCUGUUGGUCUCACUUCUGAAUCCUCUAAAACCCAGGUCUUCACAGCAUCAGCAACCCAUCUACUCUUAGCUGACUUCAAUCUUUUUCUCCUGUUCACACUGGGACAUGUAUGAGCAGUUUUGUUCACCUUAAUCUGCAUUCAUGAAAGUUCACACACAUGUUAGAACCUAUGUGCCGCAACAAACAAACAAAAUACAGUAUCAAUGCUGCUAACUACAAAUGCAAUGUUAGUUGCUAUUUUUGAUACCUGAAACAGUGUGCUAUGUCUCAUUAAGGAGGCAUGCAUCCUCCAUUGACACCUCUUAUAAGUGCAAUGCACUGUCAACCUAGUACUGUCACUCUUGUCUAUCACAAAUUCACUUUGAGUCUUUAUUGAGAAGGUUGCAAGAGCAUUUCUACAGUCUAAAGCACUGGAAAAUAUUGUUCCCUGUGCCAAAGAAGGAUCAUCUCUAUUGUAUUGCACAUCUGGUCUUUCCUCAUCAGAUGUUUUAGAGUAUCCCAUGUCCCUGUCCUCCUCCUUCUCAUCUUCACCUGCCUUAGCAAACAUGCCUUCAGGGGGUGGAACAUAAUCUUCCCCCUCAUCAUCUUUCUCCUUGCCCUUCUUCCUUGUUACAAACUGUGGAAACAACUUUUCAUCCUCAUCAUCACUUGGCCAAUCAUCUGGUAGUCCCUCUUCAGUAUAGGGGUCAACUGAAUCUCUACUAUGAGAGGGACCUGCAUUCUUAGGAACUUCUACAGUAGGUGUUCCUGGUGCCUGCAUGGAACUGAUGCUGCCUCUACUAUGAGUUGUUCUUUUCCUGCCCCUUGAUUGGCUGGUCCUACCUUUAUCUCUAGACCUAGACUGAGAUCUUGUUCCUCUGCUCUCUGGCUCUCCUCUCUUCCUUUGUAUGACACUGAUUUCUAGUUUAGCAGGGAAAGAAUCAUGUAUUGCAAACAUGAUACCAAGCUCAUCAUCACACUGGACAGGGACCCAAGCUGUUUUGUCAAUGUCCCAGUACCUGAAUUCCACUGCAUCAUAUAGACCCCAUGGAUAUUGAGCACAUAUGGCAGAUCUAAACUGAUUAAAAGUCCAUUGAUUGUCAGCAACAAAAGGAAAAGAGAAUCCUGUAUUGGUUGCUUUUGUGCCAGCUCUAGCUAGAAGUGUGGUUUCUAUUCUACAGUCCAUCCCAACUGCUCUAUCGGGGUCGAUCCUACGAUGACCAUGGAAAACAGAGAUAGAUCCCAACGCCAUGAGCACUAUGAACUAGGUCAACAAAUCCCAAAUCACACUACAAAUGGCAUGAGACUCCGCCAGAUUAGAAGAGAAACUUACCCCGCCGAAGCAUGCUUCUGUGGCUGCGGUGUGCUCCCUCGUUUGCCGCCGCCACCGCCACAGCCGCCGCAACUGCUAUCCCCAUCCAUCCGCCGCCGCCGCCGUAGUAGAGUGCGGCGCAGAGUCAAAUCUGAAGCUCCACCAUGGCUGCCAUCAGGAGAUCGAGCCUUGUGAGUUGGAUCGAGCGAGCUAGGGUUAGGGUUACGGCGGGAGGCGAUUUGGGGGAGAAAGAGAGAGCGUGCGGCUCGGGCGAGAGAAUGAGAGGGAGAGAGAGUGAACUGGUGACCUGGGCCUAGGUGUAAGGACGGAGGGGCAAAAAUGUCAAAGAAACGGCCACUUACCAGUCAAACAGCCUUGACUGGACGGAAACGGCACGGAAGGGCAAUUCUAUAAGGGAACAUGAUCGCGGAGGGGUAUUUUUGAGCAGGCUUGCGAAUUAGGAGCAAAUGUGAGUAGUGGGUUCGAGUUAGGGAUACAGAUGUAAAAGACCCUUAAUAAUUUGAUCAACUGAACUUUAAUUUAUCAUGAACUUAGUCCUGGUAGUAUUAGCAUAUCUAUGUUGUAGAUCAAUAGCUCGCGUUUAGCUCCCCUGUUUUAUUUUUGAUAUGUUCCUAGAGAAAACUAAGUUGAAAGAUGUUAGUAGCAAUGAUGCGGAUUGGAUCCGUGAUCUGAGGAUUAUCCUCAUUGUUGCACAGAAGAAUUAUGUCCUUGAUGCGCCGCUAGGUGACAGACCGAUUGCAGGAGCAGAUGUAGAUGUUAUGAACGUUUGGCAAGCUCGAUAUGAUGACUACUUGAUAUUUUAGUGCACCAUGCUUUACGGCUUAGAAUCGGGGCUUCAAAGACGUUUUUUGAAACGCCACGGAGCAUAUGAGAUGUUCCAAGAGUUGAAAUUAGUAUUUCAUACUCAUGCCCGUGUCGAGAGGUAUGAGACCUCUGACAGUACUUUGCCUACAAGAUGGAGGAGAAUUGCUCAGCUAGUGAGCAUGUACUCAGAAUGUCUGAGUACUACAAUCACUUGAAUCAAGUGGGAGUUAAUAUUUUGAGAUAAGAUAGUGAUUGGCAGAGUUCUCUAGUCACUAUCACAAAGUUACUAGAACUUCGUGAUGAACUAUAAUAUGCAAGGGAUAACGGAAACGAUUCCCGAGCUUUUCAUGAUGAUGAAAUCGAUGAAGGUAGAAAUCAAGAAAGAGCAUCAAGUGUUGAUGGUUGACAAGACCACUAGUUUCAAGGAAAAGGGCAAAGGGAAGAAGGGGAACUUCAAGAAGAACGGCAAGCAAGUUGCUGCUCAAGUGAAGAAGCCCAAGUCUGGACCUAAGCCUGAGACUAAGUGCUUCUACUGCAAAGGGACUGGUCACUGGAAGCGGAACUGCCCCAAGUAUUUGGCGGAUAAGAAGGAUGGCAAAGUGAACAAAGGUAUAUUUGAUAUACAUGUUAUUGAUGUAUACCUUACUAGUGUUUAUAGCAACCCCUCGGUAUUUGAUACUAGUUCAGUUGCUAAGAUUAGUAACUCGAAACGGGAGUUGCAGAAUGAACAGAAACUAGUUAAGGGCGAGGUGACGAUGUGUGUUGGAAGUAGUUCCAAGAUUGAUAUGAUCAUCAUCACACACUCCCUAUACUUUCGGGAUUAGUGUUGAACCUAAAUAAGUGUUAUUUGAUGUUUGCGUUGACCGUGAAUAUGAUUUGAUCAUGUUUAUUGCAAUACGGUUAUUCAUUUAAGUUAGAGAAUAAUUGUUGUUCUGUUUUAAUGAAUAAAACCUUCUAUGGUUUGUUGGAUCUCGAUUGUAGUGAUACGCAUAUUCAGAAUAUUGAAACCAAAAGAUGCAAAGUUAAUAAUGAUAGUGCAACUUAUUUGUGGCACUGCCUUUUAGGUCAUAUUGGUGUAAAGCACAUGAAAAAACUCCAUGUUGAAGGGCUUUUGGAAUCACUUGAUUAUGAAUCACUUGAUGCUUGCGAACCAUGCCUCAUGGGCAAGAUGACUAAGACUCUGUUCUCCGGAACAAUGGAGCGAGCAACUGACUUAUUGGAAAUAAUACAUACUGAUGUAUGCGGUCCGAUGAGUGUUGAGGCUCGCGGCAGGUAUCGUUAUUUCCUGACCUUCACAGAUGAUUUGAGCAAAUAUGGGUAUAUCUACUUAAUGAAACUGAAACAGUUGAAAAGUUGAAAGAAUUUCAGAAUGAAGUGGAGAAUCAUUGUAACAAGAAAAUAAAAGUUUUUCUGUGAUUUGAUCGCGGAGACGAAUAUUUGAGUUACAAGUUUGGCCUUCAAUUAAAACAAUGUGGAAUAGUUUGACAAACUCAUGCCACCUGGAACACCACAACAUAAUGGUGCGUCCGAACGUCAUAAUCGUACUUUAUUGGAUAUAGUGCAAUCUAUGAUGUCUCUUACCGAUUUACCACUAUCGUUUUGGGGUUAUGCAUUAGAGACAGCUGCAUUCACGUUAAAUAGGGCACCAUCUAAAUCCGUUGAGAUGACACCAUAUGAACUGUGGUUUAGCAAGAAACCAAAGUUGUCAUUUCUUAAAGUUUGGGGUUGCGAUGCUUAUGUGAAAAGGUUUCAUCCUGAUAAGCUCAAACCCAGAUCGAAGAAAUGUGUCUUCAUAGGAUACCCAAAGGAGACAGUUGGGUACACCUUCUAUCAUAGAUCCGAAGGCAAGACAUUCGUUGCUAAGAAUGGAUCCUUUCUAGAGAAAGAGUUUCUCUCGAAAGAAGUGAGUGGGAGGAAAGUAGAACUUGAUGAGGUAUUUUUACCUACUCCCUUAUUGGAAAGUAGUUCAUCACAGAAAUCCGUUCCUGUGACUCCUACACCAAUUAGUGAGGAAGCUAAUGAUGAUGAUCAUGUAACUUCAGAUCAAGUUACUACCGAACCUCGUAGGUCAACCAGAGUAAGAUCCGCACCAGUGGUACGGUAAUCCUGUUCUGAGGUCAUGUUACUUGACCAUGACGAACCUACGAACUAUGAGGAAGCGAUGAUGAGCCCAGAUUCUGUGAAAUGGUUUGAGGCCAUGAAAUCUGAGAUGGGAUCCAUAUAUGAGAACAAAGUAUGGACUUUGGUUGACUUGCCCAAUGAUCGGCAAGCCAUAGAAAAUAAAUGGAUCUUCAAGAGGAAGACGGACGCUGAUAGGAGUGUUACUAUCUACAAAGCUAGACUUGUCGAAAAAGGUUUUUGACAAAUUCAAAGUUGUUGACUACGAUGAGAUUUUCUCACUCGUAUCAAUGUUUAAAGUCUGUCCGAAUCAUGUUAGCAAUUGCCGCAUUUUAUGAAAUCUGGCAAAUGGAUAACAAAACUGUAAUCCUUAAUGGAUUUAUUAAAGAAGAGUUGUAUAUGAUGCAACCAGAAGGUUUUGUCAAUCCUAAAGGUGCUAACAAAAUGUGCAAGCUCCAGCGAUCCAUCUAUGGACUGGUGCAAGCAUCUCGGAGUUGGAAUAUACGCUUUGAUGAGUCGAUCAAAGCAUAUAGUAUUAUACAGACUUGCUGUGAAGCCUGUAUUUAUAAGAAAGUGAGUGGGAGCACUACAACCUUUCUGAUAAGUAUAUGUGAGUGACAUAUUGUUGAUCGGAAAUGAUGUAGAAUUUUCUGGAAAGCAUAAAGGAGUGUUUGAAAGGAGUUUUUCAAGGAAAGACCUCGGUGAAGCUGCUUACAUAUUGAGCAUCAAGAUCUAUAGAGAUAGAUCAAGACGCUUGAUAAGUUUUUUCAAUGAGUACAUACCUUGACAAGAUUUUGAAGUAGUUCAAAAUGGAACAGUCAAAGAAGGAGUUCUUGCCUGUAUUACAAGGUGUGAAGUUGAGUAAAGACUCAAAACCCGACCAUGGUAGAAGAUAGAGAGAGAAUGAAAGUCAUUCCCUAUGCCUCAGCCAUAGGCUAUGUAAAGUAUGCCAUGCUGUGUACCAGAUCUAUUGUAUACCCUACACUGAGUUUGGCAAGGGAGUACAAUAGUGAUCUACGAGUAGAUCACUGAACAGCGGUCAAAAUUAUCCUUAGUAGAAUAAGGAUAUGUUUCUUGAUUAUGGAGGUGACAAAAGGUUCGUCAUAAAGUGUUACGUCGAUGCAAGUUUUGACACUGAUCCAGAUGACUCUAAGUCUCAAUCUGGAUACAUAUUGAAAGUGGGAGCAAUUAGCUAAAGUAGCUCCGUGCAGAGCAUUGUAGACAUAGAAAUUUGCAAAAUACAUACGGAUCUGAAUUUGGCAGACCCGUUGACUAAACUUGUGUCACAAGCAAAACAUGAUCACACCGUAGUACUCUUUGGGUGUUAAUCACAUAGCGAUGUGAACUAGAUUACUGACUCUAGUAAACCCUUUGGGUGUUGGUCAAAUGUCGAUGUGAACUAUGGGUGUUAACCACAUAAAGAUGUGAACUAUUGAUGCUAAAUCACAUGGCGAUGUGAACUAGAUUAUUGACUCUAGUGCAAGUGGGAGACUGAAGGAAAUAUGCCCUAGAGGCAAUAAUAAAGUUAUUAUUUAUUUCCUUAUUUUCAUGAUAAAUAUUUAUUAUUCAUGCUAGAAUUGUAUUAACCAGAAACUUGAUACAUGUGUGAAUACAUAGCCAAACAGAGUGUCACUAGUAUGCCUCUACUUGACUAGCUCGUUGAAUCAAAGAUGGUUAAGUUUCCUAGCCAUAGACAUGAGUUGUCAUUUGAUUAACGGGAUCACAUCAUUAGAGAAUGAUGUGAUUGACUUGACCCAUUCCGUUAGCUUAGCACUUGAUCGUUAAGUAUGUUGCUAUUGCUUUUUUCAUGACUUAUACAUGUUCCUAUGACUAUGAGAUUAUGCAACUCCCGUUUACCGGAGGAACACUUUCUGUGCUACCAAACGUCACAACGUAACUGGGUGAUUAUAAAGGUGCUCUACAGGUGUCUCCGAAGAUACUUGUUGAGUUGGCGUAUUUCGAGAUUAGGAUUUGUCACUCCGAUUGUCGGAGAGGUAUCUCUGGGCUCACUCGGUAAUACACAUCACUAGAAGCCUUGCAAGCAUUGUAACUAAUGAGUUAGUUGCGGGAUGAUGUAUUACGGAACGAGUAAAGAGACUUGCCGGUAACGAGAUUGAACUAGGUAUUGAGAUACCGACGAUCGAACAUCGGGCAAGUAACAUACCGAUGACAAAGGGAACAACGUAUGUUGUUGUGCGGUUUGACCGAUAAAGAUCUUCGUAGAAUAUGUGGGAGCCAAUAUGAGCAUCCAGGUUCCGCUAUUGGUUAUUGACCGAAGACUUGUCUCGGUCAUGUCUACAUAGUUCUCGAACCCGUAGGGUCCACACGCUUAAAAGUUCGGUGACGAUUUGUAUUAUGAGUUUAUGUGUUUUUAUGUACCGAAGGUAGUUCGGAAUCCCGGAUGAGAUCGGGCAAAUGACGAGGAGUCUCGAAAUGGUCGAGACGUAAAGAUCGAUAUAUUGGACGACUAUAUUCGGACAUUGUAAAGGUUCCGAGUGAUUCGGGUAUUUUUCGGAGUACCGGAGAGUUACGGGAAUUCGCCGAGGAGUAUAUGGGCCUUAUUGGGCUUUAGGGGAAAGAGAGAGGAGAGGCUGCGCCCCCCCCCCAAGGCUUAGUCCGAAUUGGACUAGGGGGAGGGGCGGCGCCCCCUCCUUCCUUCUCUUCUCUUUUCCCUUUCCUUCUCUCCUACUCCUACUACUUGGAAGGGCUCUUAGUUCUACUAGGAAAGGGGGAAUCCUACUCGCGGUGGGAGUAGAACUCACCUAGGGCGCGCCAUAGAGAGGGCCGGCCCUCCCCCUCCUCCACUCCUUUAUAUACGGGGAGGGGGGAACCCCUUGGAGACAACAAUUGAUCAUUGAUCUCUUAGCCGUGUGCGGUGCCCCCCUACACCAUAAUCCACCUCGGUAAUAUCGUAGCAGUGCUUAGGCGAAGCCCCGCAUCGGUAGCAACAUCAUCACCGUCAUCACGCCGUCGUGCUGACGGAACUCUCCCUCGAAGCUCUGCUGGAUCGGAGUUCGUGGGACGUCAUCGAGCUGAACGUGUGCUGAACUCGGAGGUGCCGUGCGUUCGGUACUUGAAUCGGUCGGAUCGUGAAGACGUAUGACUACAUCAACUACGUUGUCAUAACGCUUUCGCUUUCGGUCUAUGAGGGUACGUGGAUAACACUCUCCCCUCUCGUUUCUAUGCACCACCAUGAUCUUGCGUGUGCGUAGGAAUUUUUUUGAAAUUACUACGUUCCCCAACACUAACAACUUCCGUGAAGACACCGAGGGUCAAUACGCGAUGUGUCCGCCUAGAAACCCUAUUUCGCACACCGUAAGCAUAUAAGGAGAAGAAAACCCUUUGGAGGCAUACAAGUUUAUGGCUCAUCCACAGUCAUCCCUUCGCAGCCCCACCAUUCCCACCUACAAACAUUGCAAUAGUCAUCUCCAUGUCCAUAGUGUUCGUCCCCAUAACCAUAGCCAUAAACUUGUACUUAGAGUACUUCACAUACAAUGACAUUGUAAGACUAUCAUCGAUCAUUCAUCUUCCAACACCAUCUACAAUAUAUUUUGCCCGUGAUUUAUUUAUGAUGUGCAAGUAGUCCCUUCAGGCUAAAGGCUGAGACAUAGCCUUGCAACCCCAUGUAUGUGCAACAAGAUUGUUGGUUUACUUUAAAGUAACCUUAUUUCUGUGUGUUAUGCAAAAAAAGUCUCUUGUAUCUACCUCCUUCUAAGCCGAGAAGAGGUUAAGUGUAGAGAGGAGCGGAAGGCUAUGCCAUACAUUCUCUAAGGUAUAAACGAUGUAGUCAUUAAAUGCCCACUGCGUUGGUCUGUAUUAGUCAUUAAUAAUUUUUGUAACUAGUAUUGUGUCAUCCUACCACCACAUACAAAAGAGGGUGUAAUCGUACUACCGCAAGUUCACCAUUACCAUGAGGAAUUAGUGUAUACCACUUCAUCAAAAUAGACAGGCCAACAAGUGUUUUGAAGUUGUGGCUACCAAAAAAUGUAUGGCAUCAUCAUCAUCCUCGUCUUUGUCAUCAUCAUGAACACCCUCAGCACCAGAAAUGACCAAAGCUGUAGUAAUAGUGCUUGCUAAGCCAGGUCCUAAGUCAGAGAUCCAUAUGCUCAACCCCCAUGCAAAUGUAGCCAAGACCACGUGCUCUGUUGUCCAACAGGUGGAUAAGAGCCACCCACCAGAACCUCCUGACUGAAGCGAGCCAUGUCCAUGACAACGCUGUAUAGGGAAGGGUGGAUGUCCACACAUGCUUGCUCUUCCCGAUGGUGAUUGACACCUCCUUGCACUACAAAAAAAUACACUUCCGUGAUGAUACGUGUUUGUCACAGUAGGUCACGUUUUCUGUCAUGCAUGUACAUCCAUGACAAAUUUAUGACAUAAUCAAGAUAGUCAUACCUGUGCUGUCGUAGAAGUGUUCCAUGACAUUACCAAGAUUAUCAUCACGGAAGUGUCCACUUCCAUGACGAUAAAUCGCGCGUCACAGAAGUGCUUUCGUCUAGGGUGACCGACACGUGGCAUCCACCGUAACGGAACGCCGUUAAGCUACCGGGUCCGGUUUUUGAUCCGAUAACCCGUUAACAGCCCGGACCAAUGGGGAUUUUCCACGUGUAAAAUCAUCAUUGGCCGGAGGAAACACGUGUUGCCUCACCGUUGGGACAGAUGUCAUCCACUCAUUGGACAGGAGGCGCCUAUGAUAGGUCGACACAUGGCACGGCCCAACAGUGGCCCAUUCCGGUGAAAAAGGCCGGCCCAGUAAAAAAUAGCAGGCCGGCCCAUAUAAGGCCUACUUGUGUCAGGUCCAUUUAAGACCACGGACCAUACGCGAUGUGCCAAUUCGGCCCGUCAACGGCCCGUUAAAGAUUUGACACCAUUGCAGCCCAUCGUCAGUUCGAGCCUAUUAACAGCCCGCUAUAUAUUUGGGCUCAAUAUCGGCCCGAUGAGAUUUCGGCCUGUUAACGGCCCAUUCAGUGGAUGGGCCAAUUUUCACGAUGUACAUCUUUCGGCCUUUUAGCGACCCAUUUAAAUAUUGGGCUAAUUUCCGGCCCGGUGUGUCUUUCAGCCUGUUGAUGGCCCAUAAAUCAGUUGGGCCAUUUGUUGUCGGACCUGAGUUUCGGCCUUUUAGCGACCCAUUUAAGUGUUGGGCCAAUUUCCGGCCCGGUGUGUCUUUCAGCCUGGUGACGGCCCAUAUAUCUGUUGGGCCAUUUGUGGUCGGACCUGAGUUUUGGCCUUUUAGCGACCCAUUUAAGUGUUGGGCCAAUUCCCGGCCAUGUGUGCCUUUCAGCCUGUUAAUGGACCAUAAAUGAGUUGGGCCAUUUGUAGUCGGACCUGAGUUUUGGCCUUUUAACGCCCAUGCCCUUCAUGGUCCAAUACCAGCCCAGUUACUCUUUCGGCCUGCUAAAGGCCCACAACACAGUUGGGCCAUUUACAAUACGACCUGACUUUCGGCCUCUUAGCGGCCGAUUGCUCUACAUGGUCCAAUACAAGCCCGUUGUCUCUUUCGGCCUGCUAAAGGCCCACAGUAUACUUGGGCCAUAUGUAGCCCGAACUUAGUAACGACCUGUUAAUGGCCCGUGAAAUCAAUUGGGCCCACAUGUUGCCCGCUUCGAUGUCAGCCUGUUAACGACCCGGGAGUUAAGAGGGCCGACCAUUAACUUUCGGCCUGGUAACGACCCAUUAACUUAAUGGGCCCACUAAAGUUCGUACAUGUCUUUAGGCCAAAUUAGAAAAUUUGAGCCCAUUACGACGAGCAAUUAUGCACAGGACCAAAACCGAUCAAGCAAAGGUACGGCAUACAGGGAAAAACGUUGCACAUUCAGCAUAUAUUACAGGAAAUUACAUCCACUGGGCAAUCAAAGAUUGAUGCCAGUGCAAAUAAAUGGACAGAACCUAACGAUCUACAACGUCACAAUCUGCAACCUCAGCACGGAUGACGCCCAUAACAUGUGGGCAAGUUCUUGCUGCUUUGCUACACUGUCUUUGAAAACAUUGAUCAGUUGUUGUGUCGCACGACUCUGCACCUCUGAUUCCUCCACCAUUUCCAUCAUUCCUUCAGCCAUUAAUUGGUUCACAAACAUACAUUGUUUCCGUUGCAUUGGUGACAGAGGAUACUGAACAGAUUCAGAUGGCGAUUUUGGCAGGCUUGUAUUAUUGAUAGUGGAGAGUGUCUCGACCACUACAUCAUACCAUAAAUUAGGAGGGGAACCAAACAGAUUAAUCAUGAGUUAUUGGCAUAUUACCUGGCCUAGAUUUAUUGGAAAGAAACAAUGGGGUUGCCUUGCUGUUUUCAGAGUUUGUCUUCUUAUCUUCAGCAGCUUGCACCAAAUUAAGACACUAGCAUUGUUAUCAUUGGCCAAGUCAGGUAAUAGGAAAGCAACAUUGGCACAACGAACGUUUGGGCAACUAGCCAACACCAAACUAAAACAAUAUGGCGCAACUAUCAUCAGCCAGGUAAGGUAAUACGAAAGCAACAUUGACACAAUGAAUGAAUGGGCAACCAGAGCAGCACUACAAUUCAGUAAUGUGCAUGAUAUGAGAUAGUACACUCAUGCAGCUCAGUAUGCAAAACUACCAGGCAGUUUUCUUUACAAAAAUCAACAUUAGUGCCUUUAACAUUUUGCUACAACAAAUUUUAGAUCAGAUAAAGGUUGGAUUCACGCUGAUUAACAAAAUAUAUGCUGAUGUAAAAAUAUAGUGAUAUACAACAGGUACUUACAUCAGCAUUAGAGCAUAGAGAAUUCCCGCAAGAUAUUUUCCUCGAAUACAAUGCCAAUGAAGGAAAUCUUCUAUCAUUUAACCUUAUUUUCUAAAAGAGAGAUGGGUAAGAAACAUGUAGAAAAUAUGAUCAGAAUGCUAUAAAAUUUCAUGAUGCAAGGAUACGCACACGCUCUUAGAAUGGAGUUGACAUUCUUUUGCUGGACUGGAGCAGACUAGUUCUUUGGCCACUGGAAUCUGCUUAUUAUCAGUGGGAGUUGGGUUUCUCUGUGCUGGAGCAGUAUCUAUGAAAAAUGGAGUUGGUUUAUUAUCUCCUGGCGUUUGGAUCUUUUGCAAUGACCUGGUUUGUAACCCUUCAGAUUCUAACAUAGCCGUCUUCCCCUUGCAUGCCUUAUAUAGAAGAAUGGUGCUUGAAUUAUAAAACAUGCUACAGCAGAGAUGGAAUAGGUACUGAAGAAUAGAAAGGCAUGACAUAUUGACAUGUAUUCCCUCCAUCCGGAAAUAAAUGGAUGGGUCUAGGCGUAUUUCAGUUCUAGAUACAUCCAGUUUUAUCCAUUUCUACGACAUGUAAUCCGGACGGAGGGAGUAUGAUGUAAGAGCUAGGGAUACGACAGGACAACACAGUAAAAAAACACCGAAAACCCACUGCAGAACCAAAGUAAUCAAACCCACUGAUAUGAGAUAGUACACUCAUGCAGCUCAGGAUGCAAAACUACCAGGCAGGUUUCCUUACAAAAAUCAACAUUGUGGCCUUUAAUCAUACAUUUUGCUACAACUAAAUUUAGAUCAGAUAAAGGUUGGAUUCACGCCAAUUAACAAAAUACAUGCUGAUGUAAAAAUAUAGUGAUAUACGACAGGUACUUACAUCUGCAUUGGAGUACAGAGAAUUCCUGCAAGAAUCUUUCCUCACAGAUGAUACCAGUGCAGAAAUUCUUCUAUCUGUUAAGCUUAUUUUUUUAAAGAGAGAUGGGUAAGAAACAUGUAGAAAAUAUGAUCAGCAUGCUAUAAAAUUUCAUGAUGCAAGGAUACGCACACGCUUCUUAGAAUGGAGUUGACAUAUUUUUGCUGGACUGGAGCGGACUAGUUCUUUGGCCACUGGAAUCUGCUUAUUAUCAGUAGGAGUUGGGUUUCUCUGUGCUGGAGCAGUAUCUAUAAAAACCGGAGUUGGUUUAUUAUCUCCUGGCGUUUGGAUCUUUUGCAAAGACCUGGUUUGUAACCCUUCAGAUUCUAACAUAGUCGUCUUCCCCUUGCAUGCCUUGUAUAGAAGAAUGGUGCUUCAAUUAUAAAACAUGCUACAACAGAGAGAUGGAACAGGUACUGAAGAAUAGAAAGGCAUGACAUAUUGACAUGUAUUCCCUCCAUCCGGAAAAAAUGGAUGGGUCUAGGCGUAUUUUAGUUCUAGAUACAUCCUUUUUAUCCAUUUCGGCAACAUGUAAUCCGGACGGAGGGAGUAUGGUGUAAGAGCUAGGGAUACGACAGGAAAACACAGUAAAAAACACUAGUUGAAUGUAAAACUGUAUGCUAGCGGAAUACAUACAGAAAAAACUAAGGCAACAUACACGUGUAUGAUUGGGAAACUAAGAUGGCAUUGCAACAGAGCACUAGAACAACACUUCAAUGUAAAAAACAUGGUAUGGUAGAUAGAUGAAGUACAUACUGAUGAAUAACAAUGCAUAAGAUAUUCAGAAGCAUGAUGUCCAAAUUAAGCAGAUGGCAUUGCGAUAGAGCAAGGACCUUGUGGGGUGAAGAGGAUUCAACAUCUUUCUGCAAGUCUUCUGAAGAAUUGCCUUUACAUGUUCCAUCAUAUUGGGUAUCAUUGAUAUCAAGUUUAUUGGCCUUUACAUUGCUCCGUGAGGUUCUUGUGGAUAUAUCAGUGUGUGCAAUUAUAUCUGACAUGCAUGGAAGACAACUAGUAGUUAGAUUUAUGUAAUGAGUGCCUGUAGGAGACUACAUAAAUAGUAGGACUGGGGUUAACUAGCAGCAACAUGUCUCAAAAACUAAAGGGAGAACAGAGAUGAAAGCUACAGAAUAUGUAUCGUUUGUACUCGAGAUUAACUAGAUGGCACACAAAAGUAUUAAAGAACAACAUACGUAAUACUAGAAGUGGUAUAAGACUAUAAUCACCAGCCUGUGGGAUAACAUUGGCUGAUGGAUGAUAACUAUGGAACAACGUUACCUAAAGAACAAGUAUCUUAGCUGAACUAUGGAACAACGUUAACUCCUGAACAAGACCCGUAAGAGAUCAGCAUGAAUAUACAGUGAAAUGUGAUAAUCUAUUUUCCAUGCUUAGAUGAAUAACAAAGCCAUAAAUGUUGCAGACAAGUAAGAUGAGGGUACAACCUAUCUGGCCGCCAUCCAUAGGAGUGAGCAUCAUGUGCUGACUUGUCGAUGGCCCUGCAAUUGUUGUGGCAUCCGUGUUGGGCACACGCAUUCGAUGCAGGGAACUGUUGAGUGGGGACUAUAGUUCCCUUCUGGUGUAUGCUUCCCUUGUUGGAGCAGUUGCGGUGAGUCGGAAGACGGUGUGGCUGAAGAUGCAGAUAACGCAUAAUGUUAAGAACGACACAUCUAUUUGACCUGAAGAAAUACACCAAGAGAUCAGCAGCAAGGUACGAGAGUGGUCACACGUCUGUUGACUGAGACUAAAUUGGGGUCACACGAUUUUAUUUUAUUUUGGUACUGUCCGAUCUACGCCAGAUGGCUUGAUGGUUGUCUUGUGCCUCCCGGCUGACACUGUUAGGAAUCUUCCCCGAAGAGCCAGCGACCAACGGCAGAGCAGCUUGCCUCCGCCGUCCGUGGCCUCGGCCAAAACUCCGCUCCCCGCCCCACCGCACUGCCGUGGUUGCGCCGCCCCCGGGCCAAUCCAUAAAGACUACCCGUCAUCCAGAUCCGGCGACGGCAGUACCUUGAACCCACGCAACUCUAAGAUAGCCAUCUAAGUGCUGCUUCCGCGGUGAACUUGCGGCCCCGCACCCUUACGUUAGACACCAGCCAACCGGCAGCCUAGGAGCUCCGCCGCCUCGAGGGGUGCUGCUUCCCAUUGGGAAUCAAUUGGCCCAGAAUAAAAAUUUAGACAACUGACGCCUAAAUAAAGUGAUUUGAGAUGAGGGUGCGACCUAUCUGGCAGCUGUUGGAAAUAUGCCCUAGAAGCAAUAAUAAAAUGGUUAUUAUUGUAUUUCCUUGUUCAUGAUAAUUGUCUAUUGUUCAUGCUAUAAUUGUAUUAACUGGAAACCGUAAUACAUGUGUGAAUACAUAGACCAGAACGUGUCCCUAGUAAGCCUCUAGUUGACUAGCUCGUUGAUCAAUAGAUGGUUAUGGUUUCCUGACCAUGGACAUUGGAUGUCAUUGAUAACGGGAUCACAUCAUUACGAGAAUGAUGUGAUGGACAAGACCCAAUCCUAAGCAUAGCACAAGAUCAUGUAGUUCGUUUGCUAAGAGCUUUUCUAAUGUCAAGUAUCAUUUCCUUAGACCAUGAGAUUGUGCAACUCCCGGAUACUGUAGGAAUGCUUUGGGUGUACCAAACAUCACAACGUAACUGGGUGGCUAUAAAGGUGCAUUACAGGUAUCUCCGAAAGUGUCUGUUGGGUUGGCACGAAUCGAGACUGGGAUUUGUCACUCCGUAUGACGAAGAGGUAUCUCUGGGCCCACUCGGUAAUGCAUCAUCAUAAUGAGCUCAAUGUGACUAAGUAGUUAGUCACGGGAUCAUGCAUUACAGAACGAGUAAAGUGACUUGCCGGUAACGAGAUUGAACGAGGUAUUGGGAUACCGACGAUCGAAUCUCGGGCAAGUAACAUACCGAUUGACAAAGGGAAUUGUAUACGGGAUUGAUUGAAUCCCCGACAUCGUGUUCAUCCGAUGAGAUCAUCGUGGAACAUGUGGGAGCCAAUAUGGGUAUCCAGAUCCUGCUAUUGGUUAUUGGCCAGAGAUGUGUCUCGGUCAUGUCUGCAUGGUUCCCGAACCCGUAGGGUCUACACACUUAAGGUUCGGUGACGCUAGAGUUGUUAUGGGAAAUAGUAUGUGGUUACCGAAGGUUGUUCGGAGUCCCGGAUGAGAUCCCGGACAUCACGAGGAGUUCCAGAAUGGUCCGGUGGUGAAGAUCGAUAUAUUGGACGAAGGGUAUUGGAGUCCGGAAGUGUUCCGGGGGUACCAGGCUAUGGCCAGCAUGUCCGAAAGGUGUUUCGGGAGCCCCGACAAGUGUUGGAGGGUCUCAUGGGCCAAAGGGGAAGGGGCAAACCAGCCCACUAAGGGGUGGUGCGCCCCCCACAACCUGUCCCACGUUACUUGGGGAGGUGGGGCGCCUCCACCUGCUUGGCUUGGGGGGCAAGUCUCCCUAGGAUUUUCCCUAGGGAGAUCCAAUCUGCUUGGCCGCCGCCCCCUAGGGGAAACCCUAGGGCGCCUCCCCCUCUCCCCUUGCCCCUAUAUAUAGUGGAGGGGUGGGAGGGCAGCCGCACCUCUUCCCUGGCGCAGCCCUCCCUCCUCAUACACCUCCUCUUCCUCCUCCGUAGUGCUUAGUGAAGCUCUGCCGGAGAACCACGAGCUCCAUUGCCACCACGCCAUCGUGCUGCUGGAGUUCUCCCUCAAGUUCUCCUCUCCCCUUGCUGGAUCAAGAAGGAGGAGACGUCCCCGGGCUGUACGUGUGUUGAACGCGGAGGCGCCGUCCGUUCGGCGGUAGAUCGGAUCUUCCGCGAUUUGAAUCGCUGCGAGUACGACUCCAUCAACCGCGUUCUUGUAACGCUUCCGCUUAGCGAUCUACAAGGGUAUGUACAUGCACUCCUCCCCUCUCGUUGCUAGUAAACUCCAUAGAUUGAUCUUGGUGAUGCGUAGAAAAUUUUGAAUUAUUGCUACGUUCCCCAACAGUGGCAUCAUGAGCUAGGUCUAUGCGUAGAUUCUAUGCACGAGUAGAACACAAAGUAGUUGUGGGCGAUGAUUUGUUCAAUUUUCUUACCGUUACUAGUCUUAUCUUGAUUCGGCAGCAUUGUGGGAUGAAGCGGCCCGGACCGACCUUACACGUACUCUUACGUGAGACAGGUUCCACCGACUGACAUGCACUUGAUGCAUAAGGUGGCUAGCAGGUGUCUGUCUCUCCCACUUUAGUUGGAUCGGAUUCAAUGAAAAGGGUCCUUAUGAAGGGUAAAUAGAAAUUGGCAUAUCACCAUUGUGGCUUUUGCGUAGGUAAGAAACGUUCUUGCUAGAAACCCAUAGCAGCCACGUAAAACAUGCAACAACAAUUAGAGGACGUCUAACUUGUUUUUGCAGGGUAUGCUAUGUGAUGUGAUAUGGCCAAAAGGAUGUGAUGAAUUAUAUAUGUGAUGUAUGAGAUUGAUCAUGUUCUUGUAAUAGGAAUCACGACUUGCAUGUCGAUGAGUAUGACAACCGACAGGAGCCAUAGGAGUUGUCUUAAUUUAUUGUAUGACCUGCGUGUCAAUGAAAACGCCAUGUAAUUACUUUACUUUAUUGCUAACCGUUAGCCAUAGUAGUAGAAGUAAUAGUUGGCGAGACAACUUCAUGAAGACACGAUGAUGGAGAUCAUGGUGUCAUGCCGGUGACGAAGGUGAUCAUGCCGCGCCUCGAAGAUGGAGAUCAAAGGCGCAAGAUGAUAUUGGCCAUAUCAUGUCACUUUAUGAUUUGCAUGUGAUGUUUGUCAUGUUUACAUCUUAUUUGCUUAGAACGACGGUAGCAUAAAUAAGAUGACCCCUCACUAAAAUUUCAAGAGAUGUGUUCCCCCUAACUGUGCACCGUUGCGAAGGUUCGUUGUUUCGAAGCACCACGUGAUGAUCGGGUGUGAUAGAUUCUAACGUUCGCAUACAACGGGUGUAAGCCAGAUUUACACAUGCGAAACACUUAGGUUGACUUGACGAGCCUAGCAUGUACAGACAUGGCCUCGGAACACAAGAGACCGAAAGGUCAAACAUGAGUCGUAUAGUAGAUACGAUCAACAUGGAGAUGUUCACCGAUGAUGACUAGUCCGUCUCACGUGAUGAUCGGACACGGCCUAGUUGACUCGGAUCAUGUAUCACUUAGAUGACUAGAGGGAUGUCUAUCUGAGUGGGAGUUCAUUAAAUAAUUUGAUUAGAUGAACUUAAUUAUCAUGAACAUAGUCAGAAGGUCUUUGCAAAUUAUGUCGUAGCUUACGCUUUAGUUCUACUGUUUAAGAUAUGGUCCUAGAGAAAAUUUAGUUGAAAGUUGAUAGUAGCAACUAUGCGGACUGGGUCCGUAAACUGAGGAUUGUCCUCAUUGCUGCACAGAAGGCUUAUGUCCUUAAUGCACCGCUCGGUGUGCUGAACCUCGAGCGUCAUUUGUGGAUGUUGCGAACAUCUGACAUACACGUUUUGAUGACUACGUGAUAGUUCAGUGCGUAAGGUGGAACGGUUUAGAAUUGAGGCACCGAAGACAUUUUGAAACGUCGCGGAACAUAUGAGAUGUUCCAAGAGCUGAAAUUGGGAUUUUAGGCUCGUGCCCACGUCAAGAGGUAUGAGACCUCUGACAAGUUUCUUAAACCUGCAAACUAAGGGAGAAAAGCUCAACCGUUGAGCAUGUGCUCAGAUUGUCUGAGUACUACAGUCGCUUGAAUCGAGUGGGAGUUAAUCUUCCAGAUGAGAUAGUGAUGGUUCUCCAAAGUCACUGCCACCAAGCUACUAGAGCUUCGUGAUGAACUAUAACAAAUCAGGGAUAGAUAUGAUGAUCCUUGAGCUAUUUGCGAUGUUUGACACCACGAAAGUAGAAAUCAAGUAGGAGCAUCAAUUGUUGAUGGUUAGUAAAACCACUAGUUUCAAGAAGGGCAAGGGAAAGAAGGGAUACUUCAUGAAACGGCAAAUCAGUUGCUGCUCUAGUGAAGAAACCCAAGGUUGAACCCAAACCCGAGACUAAGUGCUUCUGUAAUGAGGGGAACGGUCACUGAAGCAGAACUACCCUAGAUACUUGGUAGAUGAGAAGGUAGGCAAGGUCGACAGAAGUAUAUUGGAUAUACAUUAUAUUAAUGUGUACUUUACUAGUAGUCCUAGUAGCACCAGGGUAUUAGAUACCGGUUCGGGUGCUAAGUGUUGGUAACUCGAAAUAAAAGGCUACGGAAUAAACGGAGACUAGCUAAAGGUGAGAUGACGAUAUGUGUUGGAAGUGUUUCCAAGGUUGAUGUGAUCAAGCAUCGCAUGCUCCCUCUACCAUCGAGAUUGGUGUUAAACCUAAAUAAUUGUUAUUUGGUGUUUGCGUUGAGCAUAUACAUGAUUGGAUUAUGUUUAUCGCAAUACGAUUAUUCAUUAAAGGAGAAUAAUGGUUACUCUGUCUAUUUGAAUAAUACCUUCAAUGGUCUUGCACCUAAAAUGAAUGGUUUAUUGAAUCUCGAUCGUAGUGAUACACAUGUUCAUGCUAAAAGAUAUGAGAUAGUAAUGAUAGUACCACAUACUUGUGGCACUGCCACUUGAGUCAUAUUGGUAUAAAACGCAUGAAGAAGCUCCAUGUUGAUGGAUCUUUGGACUCACUCGUUUUUGAAAAGAUUGAGACAUGCGAACCAUGUCUAUUAGUAUAUAUGCAUGAAGAAAGUCCAUACAAAUGGAUCGUUUGGACUCACUUGAUUUUGAAUCACUUGAGACAUGCAAAUCAUACCACAUGGGCAAGAUGACUGAAAGGCCUCGUUUUCAGUAAAGAUGGAACAAGAAAGCAACUUGUUGGAAGUAAUACAUUUUGAUGUGUGCAGUCCAAUGAGUGUUGAGGCAUGCAGUGGAUAUCGUUAUGUUCUUGCUUCCCAGAUGAUUUGAGUAGAUGCUGAGUAUAUUUACUUGAUGAAACACAAGUCUGAAUUAUUGAAAGGUUCAAGUAAUUUCAGAGUGAAGUUGAAGAUCGUCGUGACAAGAGGAUAAAAUGUUUGUGAUAUGAUCAUAGAGAUGAAUAUCUGAGUUACGAGUUUGGCACACAAUUAAGAAAUUGUGGAAAUUGUUUCACGACUAAUACCGCCUGGAACACGAUAGUGUGAUGGUGUGUCCGAACAUCAUAACUGCACCCUAUUGGAUAUGGUGCAUACCAUGAUGUCUCUUAUCGAAUUACACUAUCGUUUAUGGGUUAGGCAUUAGAGAUAACCGCAUUCACUUUAAAUAGGGCACCACGCAAUUCCGUUGAGACGACACCAUAUGAACUAUGGUUUAGAGAAACCUAAGCUGUCGUUUCUUAAAAGUUUGGGGCUGCGACGCUUAUGUGAAAAAGUUUCAGGCUGAUAAGCUCGAACCCAAAGCGGAUAAAUGCAUCUUCAUAGAAUACCCAGAACAGUUGGGUAUACCUCCUAUUUCAGAUCUGGAAGCAAAAGUGAUUGUUUCUAGAAACGGGUCCUUUCUCGAGGAAAAGUUUCUCUCGAAAGAAUUGAGUGGGAGGAUGGUGGAGACUUGAUGAGGUUAUUGAACCAUGACUUCAACUAGUGUGUAGCAGGGCACAGGAAGUUGUUCCUGUGGCACGUACACCAAUUGAAGUGGAAGCUUAUGAUAGUGAUCAUGAAACUUCAGAUCAAGUCACUACCAAACCUCGUAGGACGACAAGGAUGCGUACUACUUCAGAGUGGUACGUAAUCCUGUCUUGGAAGUCAUGUUUCUAGACAAUAAUGAACCUACGAGCUAUGGAGAAGCGAUGGUGGGCCCGGAUUCCGACGAAUGGCUUGAGGCCAUAAAACCGAGAGGAUCCAUGUAUGAAAACAAAGUAUAGACUUUGAAAGAACUACUUGAUGGUCGUAAGGCUGUUGGGUACACAUGGAUUUUAAAAGGGAAGACAGACAAUGAUGGUAAGUAUCACCAUUAAGAAAGCUCGACUUGUCGUUAAGAUGUUUUCCGACAAGUUCAAGGAGUUGACUACGAUGAGAUUUUCUCACUCGUAGCGAUGCUAAGAGUCUGUUAGAAUUAUAUUAGCAGUUACUGCAUUAUUUAUGAAAUCUUGCAGAUAGGAUGUCAAAACAUUGUUUCCUCGACGAUUUUCUUGAGGAAAAGUUGUAUGUGAUACAACCAAAAGGUUUUGUCAAUCCUGAAAGAUGCUAACAAGUAUGCAAAGCUCCAGCAAUCCUUCUAAGGACUGGAGUAAGCAUCUCGGAGUUGGAAUGUACGCUUUGAUGAGAUGAUCAAAGAUUUUGGGUUUAUACAAAGUUUAUGAGAAACUUGUAUUUCCAAAGAAGUGAGUGGGAGCACUAUAGAAUUUUUGAUGAGUAUAUGUUGUUAACAUAUUGUUGAUCAGAAAUGAUGUAGAAUUUCUAGAAAGCAUACAGGGUUAUUUGAAAAGUGUUUUUCAAUGGAAAACCUGGAUUAAGCUACUUGAACAUUGAGCAUCAAGAUCUAUAAGGAUAGAUCAAAAACACUUAAUAGUACUUUCAAAUGAAUACAUACCGUGAUAGGAUUUUGAAAGAGUUCAAAAUAGAUCAGCAAAGAAGGAGUUCUUGGCUGUGUUACAAGGUGUGAGUAUUGAGUAAGACUCAAGACCUGACCACGGCAGAAGAGAGAGAAAGGACGAAGGUCGUCCCCUAUACUUUAGACGUAGGCUCUACAAUAUGCUAUGAUGUGUACCGCACCUGAAGUGUGCCUUGCCAUGAGUUAGUCAAGGGGUACAAUAGUGAUCCAGGAAUGGAUCACAUGACAGCGGUCGAACUUAUCCUUAGUAUCUAGUGGACUAAGGAAUUUUCUCGAUUAUGGUGGUGGUAAAAGAGUUCGUCGUAAAGGGUUACGUCGCUACAAACUUUGACACUAAUCCGGAUGACUGUGAGUAGUAAACCGGAUUCGUAUAGUAGAGCAGUUAUUUGGAAUAGCUCCAAGUAGCGUGUGGUAGCUGCAUCUACAAGAUGGCAUAGAGAUUUGUAAAGCACACACGGAUCUGAAAAGUUCGGACCCGUUGACUAAUAACCUCUCUCACAAGCGAGAUAUGAACAAACCCCAUGGGUGUUGGAUUCAUUACAAUCACAUAGUGAUGUGAACUAGAUUAUUGACUCUAGUGCAAGUGGGAGACUGUUGGAAAUAUGCUCUAGAGGUAAUAAUAAAAUGGUUAUUAUUGUAUUUCCUUGUUCAUGAUAAUUGUCUAUUGUUCAUGCUAUAAUUGUAUUAACUGGAAACCGUAAUACAUGUGUGAAUACAUAGACCACAACAUGUCCCUAGUAAGCCUCUAGUUGACUAGCUCGUUGAUCAAUAGAUGGUUAUGGUUUCCUGACCAUGGACAUUGGAUGUCAUUGAUAACGGGAUCACAUCAUUAGGAGAAUGAUGUGAUGGACAAGACCCAAUCCUAAGCAUAGCACAAGAUCAUGUAGUUCGUUUGCUAAGAGCUUUUCUAAUGUCAAGUAUCAUUUCCUUAGACCAUGAGAUUGUGCAACUCCCGGAUACCGUAGGAAUGCUUUGGGUGUACCAAACGUCACAACGUAACUGGGUGGCUAUAAAGGUGCAUUACAGGUAUCUCCGAAAGUGUCUGUUGGGUUGGCACGAAUCGAGACUGGGAUUUGUCACUCUGUAUGACGGAGAGGUAUCUCUGGGCCCACUCGGUAAUGCAUCAUCAUAAUGAGCUCAAUGUGACUAAGUAGUUAGUCACGGGAUCAUGCAUUACGGAAUGAGUAAAGUAACUUGCCGGUAACGAGAUUGAACGAGGUAUUGGGAUACCGACGAUCGAAUCUCGGGCAAGUAACAUACCGAUUGACAAAGGGAAUUGUAUACAGGAUUGAUUGAAUCCCCGACAUCGUGGUUCAUCCGAUGAGAUCAUCGUGGAACAUGUGGGAGCCAAUAUGGGUAUCCAGAUCCCGCUAUUGGUUAUUGUCCGGAGAGGUGUCUCGGUCAUGUCUGCAUGGUUCCCGAACCCGUAGGGUCUACACACUUAAGGUUCAGUGACGCUAGAGUUGUUAUGGGAAAUAGUAUGUGGUUACCGAAGGUUGUUCGGAGUCCCGGAUGAGAUCCCGGACAUCACAAGGAGUUCCGGAAUGGUCCGGCGGUGAAGAUCGAUAUAUUGGACGAAGGGUAUUGGAGUCCGGAAGUGUUCCGGGGGUACCAGGCUAUGGCCAGCAUGACCGAAAGAUGUUUCGGGAGCCCCGACAAGUGUUGGAGGGCCUCAUGGGCCAAAGGGGAAGGGGCAAACCAGCCCACUAAGGGGUGGUGCGCCCCCCACACCCUUUCCCACGUUACUUGGGGAGGUGGGGCGCCUCCACCUGGCUUGGGAGGCAAGCCUCCACCUGCUUGGCUUGGGGGGGCAAGUCUCCCUAGGAUUUUCCCUAGGGAGAUCCAAUCUGCUUGGCCGCCGCCCCCUAGGGGAAACCCUAGGGCGCCUCCCCCUCUCCCCUUGCCCCUAUAUAUAGUGGAGGGGUGGGAGGGCAGCCGCACCUCUUCCCUAGCGCAGCCCUCCCUCCUCAUACACCUCCUCUUCCUCCUCCGUAGUGCUUAGCGAAGCUCUGCCGGAGAACCACGAGCUCCAUUGCCACCACGCCGGCGUGCUACUGGAGUUCUCCCUCAACUUCUCCUCUCCCCUUGCUGGAUCAAGAAGGAGGAGACGUCCCCGGGCUGUACGUGUGCUGAACGCAGAGGCGCCGUCCGUUCGGCGCUAGAUCGGAUCUUCCGCGAUUUGAAUCGCUGCGAGUACGACUCCAUCAACCGCGUUCUUGUAACGCUUCCGCUUAGCGAUCUACAAGGGUAUGUAGAUGCACUCCUCCCGUAUCGUUCCUAGUAAACUCCAUAGAUUAAUCUUCGUGAUGCGUAGAAAAUUUUGAAUUAUUGCUACGUUCCCCAACAGCAGCAUGGUGAAGUAGGCAGGUCCAGCUGUCGAGUCGGUGAGGCCGGCGCGGUUGCAGUGGCCACCGGCGGUAGGGAAACAGCGAUUCACGACGGUCGACGGCUACGGGGAAGCAGCGCCGGGACUCUGUACGGAUCCGAAGUUGGAGCCGCUCCGGCGCCGUGAACAACGGCGGGGGUGAAUCGGCUCCGGUACGGUUCACGCGACCGUCGUCGAGGCAGCUCCAGCAGCACGGAGUAAGAGGCACACAGCCCAGUGCACGACGGCAAAUGGACAGCGUCUCCGGCGUUAGGGAGGAGGGCGGCUGUGAAAUUGGUGCGGUGGGGGCGCCAUGGAGGAGGGGCUGAGGUUUCGCGGCUCGGGAGAAGGGAGCUUCUGGGGAGAUAGUGAUUUGGCGCCCACGAGGUAUGAAUGGGGGGGGAAUUGGGAGGGGAGUGGAACCUUGUUUUACGGACGCAUUUGUCUGAAAUGUGAGGGGGAGUUAUAGUUCUACCCCUGCCUUUAGGCUUCUCAGCUUGGGUCUGUGUACUGAGGGUCGGGGAUAGUAGAGUAACUUUGCUUCUCCCCAAAUAGUGGGCGGGAACGAUUUCGGGCGUGGAGGACGUGUUUUGAAAUAUAGUGGGCGCGAGCGAUUUCAGGCGAGGAGAGCGUGUUUUGAAAUAGUGGGCGCGAGCUAUUUCGGGCGAGGAGAGCUGUCGGUGCACAAAAAGAGGGGUGCGUUUUUGUACCCCUAUACCUGUGCACGGGCAGUCGGAGCCGCGCCCACGGUCACACCAAGCGGAGCAGGGGAGGUGAGCCAAGGUAAGAGCGAAGCCCAAGAUAAUUAGAGCAACGCCAAGGCCAAGACCACAAAGAGCAGAGGGACGAAGCAGGUUCCCCCGGCAAGACCCUUGCUGGGGCAGCCUCAGCAGCCCUGGCAAGACCCUUGCCGGGGCAGCUCGCCCCGCACCAACAGAGCGAGCCACCCUUGAGCCCACGGUCCCCAACGCCAUCAUCCAGGUGGGGCCAGGGCUCAGGAAGGCACCUCUGUGGUGGCAUGCAGAUCUUUGUGAAGACAUAUUCAAGAUCAGAUGAGGAUUAGAAGACGACGAUCCCCGGCAAGAUCCUUGCCGAGGAAGGCCACCAGACCCCCAGCAAGGUCCUUGCCGGGGAUGACAACGCGCCACGGCAAGCCCCUUGCCGGGCCACACGGCAAGACCCUUGCCGGGCCACUCGGCAAGGCCCUCGCUAAGGACGCCAGCAGGGCUACCGCUAGGCCCACGCCAACCAAGCUUCCACCGCCGUUCACAUGCAGCUGCCAGCCCAACCAGCUGGGCGGGCACCUGCGUGGCAACAUGCAGCUCCCUGGCUAGCUCACUGAGCGCAUGCGUGGCGGCAUGCAGAUCUUCGUGAAGGCUCCGCCACUGCGCUACCUCAGCUGCCUGCCUGCAUACAUGGCACCGCGCGCCUCACUGGCCAGGGCGCGUGUCAAAGCGAGGAGGAGCGGCGACGGACGGGACGGGCCUCGCCCCGUCCCCAGUAAAGCAAGGGGACACCUAAGCUACGCAUUAAAUGCGUCUUGUCCUGUAAUACGAGCGAUAAGCUCAGAGCACUGUACGCCUUUCCACCUCCUGUGUGCCACUAUGGCAGCCCCUUCUGACUAUAAAAGGAGGCCCAUGGCAUACUGGAGAAGGAUUCGGCUCUUUCGAACCACACACUGACCAUAGCUAGUUCGAGAGCUCAAGAACUCUCUGAAAUACACCCACCAAAGCAGGACUAGGGUUUUACGCAUCCUCGCGGCCCGAACCUGGGUAAACGAUCCUUGUGCUGUCUACUAGCCCUGCUCUUCUCGCAACCCCGCGCCCCGGCAACCGUAGUAGGGAUUCUUGUGAUCCCAUAGGUGUCGUUCCACACCGACAUCUUUGGCGCGCCAGGUAGGGGGCGCAAUUGUGAGAAUCUGGUCUAGUAGUUAGCCUAGCAGUUCUUCGUCGCCAUGGCUCCUGAGAAGAAGGCGGCUGGAGGAACGACACUGGCUCAGCAACAGAAAAGCUAAGUCAUUUGGAGCUUUGAGUUAUUUCCUCCUAUACAUAAGGUUAUCAUCCUCGGAGAUCUCGCCUAUGUAUGAGAAACUUGCACGCAGAGGGGCCCUCCCGCAAUUGGCAACGCCCUUGUUCUGUUUCGAGUCCGCUCAACAGCUCAAAGCGGCCGCGUCGAGAGUGGCGGGGUAGCCUUCCGCACUUGGCAACGCUCCCGACUCUGACUCGAGUCAAGCUCGACAGUUCGGGCAGCCGCGCUAAGGGCGGCAAGGUGGUUAGCCCGGCAGCAAGCACACCCGGCAGGCCAAUGGGGAUCCGUCCCCAAGACGCCGCCUUGGGUUUACGUGCCAGCAAGCAUACCCAGUAACGUAGGGAGGACAUACAAAGGAAAAUCGAACAGGAAAAUAACAUGCAUAAUACUGAAAGUGCUGCAGAGUUAUAGUACAUCGAAUUGUUGCGGCGGUUCUAACUAGAGAUAGCGAUUGUCUUGGUUGUGAACCUGCAGCGGCGAUAAAGAAUGGGAUGCCUAAUCCCGGCGCUGGCCCUCCACCCUCUGAAUUUUGCCGACUCGGCUGAUGAUGGGCUUGAUGCGCUCCCUGAGCGGCGGAGGUCAGUACCCUCCGGCAAGCUCUCGAGCGCGGCGUCGAAGUCGAGGUCGGGGUACCAGUGCGCCACCUCGGUCAUGGCACCCUGGCAAAGCCUCCAGGACUCGUUGGCCAGUGAGGCCGCCCGGUUGGCGUGGAGCCGCUCCAGAGCGCCGACGACCUUCUCAAAGAACAUGGUCAGGCUGCAAUUCGCGCUCACGCUCCGCUCCGGGACAUACCUCACAUCCGGCAUCCCCAUGAUGGCCAGCUGCGCGGCGGUCUGGUUGGCGACGGUGGCGAGGCGAUCGAGCCAACGGUUCUCACCCGCCACGUGAUCCGCGAAGUUGAGGCCCUCGUUCUCCCGCAACUGCUUCUUGGCCUCCAGCUCCUUGGCCAGGGUCCUCUCUCGAGUUUUGGCCUCCGAAAGCACCUUCUCGAGACCCUCCAGCUUCAGCUUGAGGUCUUUGAUGGAGUUGUUGGCCUCGGAGAGCUCCCCAGCCUUGCUGACGACCGCGCCCUGCGCCUCUGUAAGGGCACUGUUAAGUGUGUCCCUCUCCUGGGAUAGCUUCAGGGCCUGCUCCUUCAGCCCGUCGCGCUCUGCCUCCAACUCCUCCACCUUGCCGGCGUGAACCUGGGCCUGGGCAUUGAGUGCCUCUUCGGCCUCUGCUCCAGCUCACUGGUCCGCUGCAAGACGAGCUUCUCCACCUCUGCAUCCUUGUCGCGAAGCAUGGCGGCAAGCUUUCCCUCGCGUGCAGCGAGGUCCUCCUCCUGGGAGUUCAGCGCGGCCUCGUGCUGGGUCCGGGCGGCUUCGGCGGCCGCGGCCAAGUUCCUCGCCGUCGCUUGAGCUUUCUCGACGUCGGCGAGCUUCAUGGUGAGCUCCAAGUCGCGCUUGGCCAGCUCGCCCUGAGCAGCCUUGAGCUCCUUGUGGGCCUCGCGGAACCAGUCCUGCGUCUCGGCAACGCGCUCCUGGAGGUCCGCCUCCGCCUUCUCCACCACCGCCGUCCUGGACUUAGCCUUGUCCAGGCGGGCGCGGUGGAGCACGUGGAGCUUCCGGAAGCUGGCGCCCAUGGCGUGGAGGAGCCGCUCUUCCUGCGAACCGUCGCCACCAACGAUCGGCUCGUCGACGACUUCAAGCCCGGCAGUGGCAAGCACUUCGUUGUCGAACACCUCUCCCUCAACGGGUGUCCUGGUGCUCGACGCACCUGGAAGGUGGACGAACAAGUCGUUGCUCACCCUCAAGUACUUGCCGGAGCCGGAAGCGGCAGAAGAGGAGGGCUGGUCACCAGCCACCUCCUCCUCCUCCUCCUCCUCGGCAGUGGCCCCGCCGGCCUCUCCGGCAGGCCCCUUGCCGGCCUCCUCAGCGGUAGCCUUGCCGGCUUCCCCGGCAGGCCCCUUGGCGGCGUCCUCGGCAGCGCCCUUGGCGGCAUCCUCGGCGGCGAUCUUCUCGGCGUCCGCCUCGGCGGCCUUGGCGACGCCCUCGAUGACGGCGUCCAUGUCCUCUGGGUUCACCGAGGAGGAAUCUGGACGCCGAAGAAGGGGGUGAGGCAAGGCCAGGACCAAGAGCCAGAAGGAAAAAGAAGCAGGGAUGAACGGCGAACGACUUACCUGUGCCAGUACCCGGCUGGGAAACGGAAGUCCCCUCCCCGCCAACAUUUGGCGUCGAGGCAAAGCCACCGGGCCCCAAGUUCUCCUCCUCCUCCUCCAUGUGCGUGGGCCCGGUGCCUGGCGCCCUUGCCGGGGACGCCCCUCGGGGCGGCGUGGUCGAUGGGGGCGGCGUGUUGGGAGUAGCCCUCUGUGGCUCCUCCUGCUGCUGCUCUCCUCCUGCAUACCUAGCAAGGUCAGCACCAAAGUGUCGUGCCCCUGACACAUGUCGACGGGGGAAGAGUGAUGGACUUACGCUGGGGGCUAUGCCGGGGGCUGCUGUCCGGGCUGCUCAACACCACCAAUGGCGCCCCCGAAGUACCAACUGGGGGCUGGUCAUCCGCCGAGACCUUGUCCCUCUUCACUCUCUGGGCCAGCAUCUCCAUGUCCCUGCAAAGAUGAAGACAAGUCAAGACGAGCAACACAGAUUGAGGAGGCAGAGAUAACGAAAAGGAACCAGAAACUUACUCGUCGUCCGCCUCCUCCUCUGCUGUUUUCCUCUUCCUCCUCGGGCUGAGGGAUCCAUAAUCAAAAGUAACCUCCGUAUCGGCAUCCGCCGGAGGAGGAGAAGGAGGUGGUGUCUGGACACGCGUGGACGAAGAAGGGGCGGCUGUCUUCUUCUUCACCGGGGCCUUCGCCGGCUUCUUUGCCGCUACGGCCCUCGUGUGGCGCCCGGACCCCUCCAAGGUCAGCUGUGGCCGCGUAGCCCUGCCGGGCCGGACCGGCUCGCUAGAACUGGCCCGCCGUAGGACUCGCCCUCUCCCCACAGCCGGCGUCGGGUCUGCGGUCUCGGCCUCCUCCUUCGACGACUCACCGGUUACAUCUUCAACCAGAGGAGCCUCAGUGCCGGCGCUGCUGGCUCCCCCGGCGGCCGCCGCCCACCGGGCGAGCUCCUCCUCCUCCGCGGCCGUCGCGGCCUUGUCCUCCACACCGCCAGCGCUGCCUGCCUCCCUGGCGAGCUGUGCCUCCCUCGCCCUGGUGGCGAUGUAGUCCAGCUCCGCCUGGGUGGUGUCCUGGACAAGCAGCCGCUCGGCGUCGGCGUUGACAUACCCCUCGUGCAAGGUGUCAAAGAACUGCUGCACCUCGGCGUCCUCCGGCUCCUUCCAGCUCGGGUCGGGGCCAUGCACGUUACAGUCCGGCAUCAUGGUAAUGAUAUCGGACCGGCGCGAGUUAUUGCACAACGGGACCACCCCCGUCGGCAGCUUGAACAGAGGCCCCUUGAGGACCUUGCCGGCCUUCGCGGUGGCCCUCACGACCUUGCCGGUCCGCUAGACCUCGCCGUCGCAGCCCACAUCGAGCUGGAAGAGCCGCUGGCAGAAAUGGGCGUGCCCCAUCACUGUGAAGUUGUGAUCGAGGCCGGGACGAAGCCGCAUGAUGUCGGCGGGGUUCGUGAAGAGCCAGGCUGGCCUCCCCUUGUUAUGCAGUGGAGCGAUCCGGCGGCGGAUGAAGUCCGCCCCGAUCAUCUCAAGGGUGAGGCCGGCCUCGGUGAGCUAGAGGAUCCUGGUGGUGGCGACCGUGAGCUUCUCGUCGUCAGCAUCGAUGUUGCUCCAAUCGCUUCUGCGGACCGGCGGCGCCCGGCGAACUUCGCAGAACGCCGGCGGGUCAUUCUCCUCGAUCCAGCACCACCGGCCCCGCCAUUCUUCCCACCUAUCCUUCAUGGCGCCCUCCGGAUACACUCCCUUGGAUCUUGAGACCCGGGCGAUGCAACCGGAGAUGGCGCCCCCUGGUUGGAUCCGAGGGGAGAAGUAAUGGCGGAAGAGCGCCGUGUUGGGGUCCACCCCGGCGAAGCCCUCGCAGAGAUGCGCGAAAAGGGCCAUGCACGCCACCGCAUUCGGAGUAAAAUCCAGAAGGCGGAAGCCAAAGGUAUGCAUGACGUCGCUGAAGAAAUCAGAGAAGGGAGGACAGAGCCCGCAGCGGGGAUGACACGCGUGCCCGGAUGCCCCGAAUUCUCCCCCCGUCUUCACUCCCCACAAGGGCCUGAAGGAGUCUCAAAGCUCGAACACGUCAACUGUCGAGGGGAAGAAGGCGGACUGCGUCCGCUGCACCGCCAGCGCACUCUCCAGCGGCUCCGCGGCUCCGGCGUCCUUGGCCACUCCCUUGCCCUUGGUGGAUUUUGGCGCCAUGGCGACUGGGGGAGGAAGGCAGGACAGAGGGCGGCGGAAGCGCAACGGCGACGAGCAGGAACGAAGCUUGAAGAAGAAGAGGAAGGCAGACGGAGGUUUCCGAGA